rnacentral:rRNA from 1 species
GGGUGAGUAACACGUGAGUAACCUGCCCUUGACUCUGGGAUAAGCCUGGGAAACUGGGUCUAAUACCGGAUAUGACUCCUCAUCGCAUGGUGGGGGGUGGAAAGCUUUUGUGGUUUUGGAUGGACUCGCGGCCUAUCAGCUUGUUGGUGGGGUAAUGGCCUACCAAGGCGACGACGGGUAGCCGGCCUGAGAGGGUGACCGGCCACACUGGGACUGAGACACGGCCCAGACUCCUACGGGAGGCAGCAGUGGGGAAUAUUGCACAAUGGGCGCAAGCCUGAUGCAGCGACGCCGCGUGAGGGAUGACGGCCUUCGGGUUGUAAACCUCUUUCAGUAGGGAAGAAGCGUAAGUGACGGUACCUGCAGAAGAAGCGCCGGCUAACUACGUGCCAGCAGCCGCGGUAAUACGUAGGGCGCAAGCGUUAUCCGGAAUUAUUGGGCGUAAAGAGCUCGUAGGCGGUUUGUCGCGUCUGCUGUGAAAGACCGGGGCUCAACUCCGGUUCUGCAGUGGGUACGGGCAGACUAGAGUGCAGUAGGGGAGACUGGAAUUCCUGGUGUAGCGGUGAAAUGCGCAGAUAUCAGGAGGAACACCGAUGGCGAAGGCAGGUCUCUGGGCUGUAACUGACGCUGAGGAGCGAAAGCAUGGGGAGCGAACAGGAUUAGAUACCCUGGUAGUCCAUGCCGUAAACGUUGGGCACUAGGUGUGGGGGACAUUCCACGUUUUCCGCGCCGUAGCUAACGCAUUAAGUGCCCCGCCUGGGGAGUACGGCCGCAAGGCUAAAACUCAAAGGAAUUGACGGGGGCCCGCACAAGCGGCGGAGCAUGCGGAUUAAUUCGAUGCAACGCGAAGAACCUUACCAAGGCUUGACAUGAACCGGAAAGACCUGGAAACAGGUGCCCCGCUUGCGGUCGGUUUACAGGUGGUGCAUGGUUGUCGUCAGCUCGUGUCGUGAGAUGUUGGGUUAAGUCCCGCAACGAGCGCAACCCUCGUUCUAUGUUGCCAGCGGUUCGGCCGGGGACUCAUAGGAGACUGCCGGGGUCAACUCGGAGGAAGGUGGGGACGACGUCAAAUCAUCAUGCCCCUUAUGUCUUGGGCUUCACGCAUGCUACAAUGGCCGGUACAAAGGGUUGCGAUACUGUGAGGUGGAGCUAAUCCCAAAAA